rnacentral:misc_RNA from 1 species
GAUGAGUUAAAAAAUAGCACAACCAAGAAGAUAUUCCUUGAUGUAUGAUGUUUGUAGAUUUUAAUGAAUAAAGCAAUUAUUCAUAAUCACACGUUGAAGUUAUAGAGGAGUUAAAAGAGUUUGAACAAGAAUUUAAAGAACUAAAAUAGUGAAUGUGGAUUAGAAUUUUAUCAAGGCAAGGAAAAGUGAUGGAAAUGGGGUUAGAAUAGACAACAUAAGGUCCUAGAAAGCACACACUUUAGGUAACUAGCCUCCAGGGG